rnacentral:ncRNA from 1 species
CUAAAGAUGAAAGGAGCUUGUCCGGAGAAUUGCUCGUAUUCCGGUAGCUUACCGAGCGGCGGUGGGAGUAACCCAGCUGUCGGAGCCUUGGGAGGCGAAUCCGUCAGCCGUAACGCAA